rnacentral:rRNA from 1 species
GACGAACGCUGGCGGCGUGCUUAACACAUGCAAGUCGAACGGAAAGGCCCUGCUUUUGUGGGGUGCUCGAGUGGCGAACGGGUGAGUAACACGUGAGUAACCUGCCCUUGACUUUGGGAUAACUUCAGGAAACUGGGGCUAAUACCGGAUAGGAGCUCCUGCUGCAUGGUGGGGGUUGGAAAGUUUCGGCGGUUGGGGAUGGACUCGCGGCUUAUCAGCUUGUUGGUGGGGUAGUGGCUUACCAAGGCUUUGACGGGUAGCCGGCCUGAGAGGGUGACCGGCCACAUUGGGACUGAGAUACGGCCCAGACUCCUACGGGAGGCAGCAGUGGGGAAUAUUGCACAAUGGGCGGAAGCCUGAUGCAGCAACGCCGCGUGCGGGAUGACGGCCUUCGGGUUGUAAACCGCUUUCGCCUGUGACGAAGCGUGAGUGACGGUAAUGGGUAAAGAAGCACCGGCUAACUACGUGCCAGCAGCCGCGGUGAUACCUAGGGUGCGAGCGUUGUCCGGAUUUAUUGGGCGUAAAGGGCUCCUAAGUGGUUGAUCGCGUCGGAAGUGUAAUCUUGGGACUUAACCCUGAGCGUGCUUUCGAUACGGGUUGACUUGAGGAAGGUAGGGGAGAAUGGAAUUCCUGGUGGAGCGGUGGAAUGCGCAGAUAUCAGGAGGAACACCAGUGGCGAAGGCGGUUCUCUGGGCCUUUCCUGACGCUGAGGAGCGAAAGCGUGGGGAGCGAACAGGCUUAGAUACCCUGGUAGUCCACGCUGUAAACGGUGGGUACUAGGUGUGGGGUCCAUUCCACGGGUUCCGUGCCGUAGCUAACGCUUUAAGUACCCCGCCUGGGGAGUACGGCCGCAAGGCUAAAACUCAAAGGAAUUGACGGGGCCCCGCACAAGCGGCGGAGCAUGCGGAUUAAUUCGAUGCAACGCGUAGAACCUUACCUGGGUUUGACAUGGAUCGGGAGUGCUCAGAGAUGGGUGUGCCUCUUUUGGGGUCGGUUCACAGGUGGUGCAUGGCUGUCGUCAGCUCGUGUCGUGAGAUGUUGGGUUAAGUCCCGCAACGAGCGCAACCCUUGUUCACUGUUGCCAGCACGUUAUGGUGGGGACUCAGUGGAGACCGCCGGGGUCAACUCGGAGGAAGGUGGGGAUGACGUCAAGUCAUCAUGCCCCUUAUGUCCAGGGCUUCACGCAUGCUACAAUGGCUGGUACAGAGAGUGGCGAGCCUGUGAGGGUGAGCGAAUCUCGGAAAGCCGGUCUCAGUUCGGAUUGGGGUCUGCAACUCGACCUCAUGAAGUCGGAGUCGCUAGUAAUCGCAGAUCAGCAACGCUGCGGUGAAUACGUUCCCGGGGCU